rnacentral:rRNA from 1 species
AGAGUUUGAUCCUGGCUCAGGAUGAACGCUAAGGCUUAACACAUGCAAGUCGAGGGGUAGCAGGGUAGCAAUACCGCUGACGACCGGCGCACGGGUGAGUAACACGUAUCCAACCUUCCCAUAACUCGGGGAUAGCCUUUCGAAAGAAAGAUUAAUACCCGAUGGUACUUAUAUAAGGCAUCUUAAAUAAGUUAAAGAUUUAUUGGUUAUGGAUGGGGAUGCGUUCCAUUAGAUAGUUGGUGAGGUAACGGCUCACCAAGUCUUCGAUGGAUAGGGGUUCUGAGAGGAAGGUCCCCCACAUUGGUACUGAGACACGGACCAAACUCCUACGGGAGGCAGCAGUGAGGAAUAUUGGUCAAUGGGCGAGAGCCUGAACCAGCCAAGUAGCGUGAAGGAUGAAGGUCCUAUGGAUUGUAAACUUCUUUUAUAGUAGAAUAAAGUGACCCACGUGUGGGUUUUUGUAUGUAUACUAUGAAUAAGGAUCGGCUAACUCCGUGCCAGCAGCCGCGGUAAUACGGAGGAUCCGAGCGUUAUCCGGAUUUAUUGGGUUUAAAGGGUGCGUAGGCGGAAUAAUAAGUCAGUUGUGAAAGUUUGCGGCUCAACCGUAAAAUUGCAGUUGAUACUGUUAUUCUUGAGUGUACAUAAGGUAGGCGGAAUUCGUGGUGUAGCGGUGAAAUGCUUAGAUAUCACGAAGAACUCCAAUUGCGAAGGCAGCUUACCGGGGUACAACUGACGCUGAGGCACGAAAGUGUGGGUAUCAAACAGGAUUAGAUACCCUGUAGUCCACACAGUAAACGAUGAAUACUCGCUGUUUGCAAUAUACCGCAAGCGGCCAAGCGAAAGCAUUAAGUAUUCCACCUGGGGAGUACGCCGGCAACGGUGAAACUCAAAGGAAUUGACGGGGGCCCGCACAAGCGGAGGAACAUGUGGUUUAAUUCGAUGAUACGCGAGGA